GGUCAAGUGAAGAAGCGCAUACGGUGGAUGCCUUGGCAGUCAGAGGCGAUGAAAGACGUGGUAGCCUGCGAAAAGCUUCGGGGAGUCGGCAAACAGACUUUGAUCCGGAGAUCUCUGAAUGGGGGAACCCACCUAGGAUAACCUAGGUAUCUUGUACUGAAUCCAUAGGUGCAAGAGGCGAACCAGGGGAACUGAAACAUCUAAGUACCCUGAGGAAAAGAAAUCAACCGAGAUUCCCUUAGUAGUGGCGAGCGAACGGGGAUUAGCCCUUAAGCUUCAUUGAUUUUAGCGGAACGCUCUGGAAAGUGCGGCCAUAGUGGGUGAUAGCCCCGUACGCGAAAGGAUCUUUGAAGUGAAAUCGAGUAGGACGGAGCACGAGAAACUUUGUCUGAACAUGGGGGGACCAUCCUCCAAGGCUAAAUACUACUGACUGACCGAUAGUGAACCAGUACCGUGAGGGAAAGGCGAAAAGAACCCCGGAGAGGGGAGUGAAAUAGAACCUGAAACCGUAUGCGUACAAGCAGUGGGAGCCUACUUGUUAGGUGACUGCGUACCUUUUGUAUAAUGGGUCAGCGACUUAUAUUCAGUGGCAAGCUUAACCGUAUAGGGUAGGCGUAGCGAAAGCGAGUCUUAAUAGGGCGUUUAGUCGCUGGGUAUAGACCCGAAACCGGGCGAUCUAUCCAUGAGCAGGUUGAAGGUUAGGUAACACUGACUGGAGGACCGAACCCACUCCCGUUGAAAAGGUAGGGGAUGACUUGUGGAUCGGAGUGAAAGGCUAAUCAAGCUCGGAGAUAGCUGGUUCUCCUCGAAAGCUAUUUAGGUAGCGCCUCAUGUAUCACUCUGGGGGGUAGAGCACUGUUUCGGCUAGGGGGUCAUCCCGACUUACCAAACCGAUGCAAACUCCGAAUACCCAGAAGUGCCGAGCAUGGGAGACACACGGCGGGUGCUAACGUCCGUCGUGAAAAGGGAAACAACCCAGACCGCCAGCUAAGGUCCCAAAGUUGUGGUUAAGUGGUAAACGAUGUGGGAAGGCUUAGACAGCUAGGAGGGUUGGCUUAGAAGCAGCCACCCUUUAAAGAAAGCGUAAUAGCUCACUAGUCGAGUCGGCCUGCGCGGAAGAUGUAACGGGGCUCAAACCACACACCGAAGCUGCGGGUGUCACGUAAGUGACGCGGUAGAGGAGCGUUCUGUAAGCCUGUGAAGGUGAGUUGAGAAGCUUGCUGGAGGUAUCAGAAGUGCGAAUGCUGACAUGAGUAACGACAAUGGGUGUGAAAAACACCCACGCCGAAAGACCAAGGGUUCCUGCGCAACGUUAAUCGACGCAGGGUUAGUCGGUUCCUAAGGCGAGGCUGAAAAGCGUAGUCGAUGGGAAACAGGUUAAUAUUCCUGUACUUCUGGUUACUGCGAUGGAGGGACGGAGAAGGCUAGGCCAGCUUGGCGUUGGUUGUCCAAGUUUAAGGUGGUAGGCUGAAAUCUUAGGUAAAUCCGGGGUUUCAAGGCCGAGAGCUGAUGACGAGUCGUCUUUUAGAUGACGAAGUGGUUGAUGCCAUGCUUCCAAGAAAAGCUUCUAAGCUUCAGGUAACCAGGAACCGUACCCCAAACCGACACAGGUGGUCGGGUAGAGAAUACCAAGGCGCUUGAGAGAACUCGGGUGAAGGAACUAGGCAAAAUGGCACCGUAACUUCGGGAGAAGGUGCGCCGGCUAGGGUGAAGGAUUUACUCCGUAAGCUCUGGCUGGUCGAAGAUACCAGGCCGCUGCGACUGUUUAUUAAAAACACAGCACUCUGCAAACACGAAAGUGGACGUAUAGGGUGUGACGCCUGCCCGGUGCCGGAAGGUUAAUUGAUGGGGUUAGCGCAAGCGAAGCUCUUGAUCGAAGCCCCGGUAAACGGCGGCCGUAACUAUAACGGUCCUAAGGUAGCGAAAUUCCUUGUCGGGUAAGUUCCGACCUGCACGAAUGGCGUAACGAUGGCGGCGCUGUCUCCACCCGAGACUCAGUGAAAUUGAAAUCGCUGUGAAGAUGCAGUGUAUCCGCGGCUAGACGGAAAGACCCCGUGAACCUUUACUGUAGCUUUGCACUGGACUUUGAGCCUGCUUGUGUAGGAUAGGUGGGAGGCUUUGAAGCGUGGACGCCAGUUCGCGUGGAGCCAUCCUUGAAAUACCACCCUGGCAUGCUUGAGGUUCUAACUCUGGUCCGUGAUCCGGAUCGAGGACAGUGUAUGGUGGGCAGUUUGACUGGGGCGGUCUCCUCCUAAAGAGUAACGGAGGAGUACGAAGGUGCGCUCAGACCGGUCGGAAAUCGGUCGUAGAGUAUAAAGGCAAAAGCGCGCUUGACUGCGAGACAGACACGUCGAGCAGGUACGAAAGUAGGUCUUAGUGAUCCGGUGGUUCUGUAUGGAAGGGCCAUCGCUCAACGGAUAAAAGGUACUCCGGGGAUAACAGGCUGAUACCGCCCAAGAGUUCAUAUCGACGGCGGUGUUUGGCACCUCGAUGUCGGCUCAUCACAUCCUGGGGCUGAAGCCGGUCCCAAGGGUAUGGCUGUUCGCCAUUUAAAGUGGUACGCGAGCUGGGUUUAGAACGUCGUGAGACAGUUCGGUCCCUAUCUGCCGUGGACGUUUGAGAUUUGAGAGGGGCUGCUCCUAGUACGAGAGGACCGGAGUGGACGAACCUCUGGUGUUCCGGUUGUCACGCCAGUGGCAUUGCCGGGUAGCUAUGUUCGGAAAAGAUAACCGCUGAAAGCAUCUAAGCGGGAAACUUGCCUCAAGAUGAGAUCUCACUGGGAACUUGAUUCCCCUGAAGGGCCGUCGAAGACUACGACGUUGAUAGGCUGGGUGUGUAAGCGUUGUGAGGCGUUGAGCUAACCAGUACUAAUUGCCCGUGAGGCUUGACCAU
rnacentral:rRNA from 1 species